rnacentral:lncRNA from 1 species
UUUUAUCUCCGCCAAAUAUGAGAGGAGAUUGAGUGAUCAGAUCCUAUUUUCCUCACAGACUACCUUUGUUCGACUCUUUCCCCUCUCCUCUAUCCCACCCUAUAAGAACCAAGAUUCAAUUUUUGCCAUUCUACUCCAAAUCGAACCCCAAAUGGAAAACCUAGCAUGCCUUCUCCUCUUUUGAUUUUGAAUGAAAUCGGCCACCGAUUGACCUUGAAACCUACGUCAAUCGAUAGAUCUCUUUGAGGUCUAUGUAUUGAAGAAGGAUUCAUGUUAUUUCGCGGUGGCCAACGCUCGGUCAAACCUCGGUUGACUUGCUAAGAGUCGCUGAAAUUUCUCUUUCUUCUAUACAUCCGGCUCACAGUAGUUAUCAUGGUAUAUACAACUAGCUAAACUGUAAAGAUUCCAAGCAAGUGGUCAUGUAACGAUAACCACUGUUGGCUGAAAUUUUCUUUGCCAGUCAGUUUGAACAUCCACAUGUAAUGCUUAGGUCAUUUUCCUCUUUAAUUUUUCCUGCCCUUAUUUGUUCUCACAUGCCAAUAUUAGUCCUCCAAUUUUGUUUUAUUAGGGUUUCUGUGUCAUCCUGCGAUUGCAUGUUAUAACGAUUAUGAUAUUUAGUUGCUUAAAAUUAAUUGCAUGAUUCAAUUCGACAUUGUUAAUUAAAGUAGUUGAUUUCUCUUUGUUGUUAAAAAUAUGGUUAACUAUAAACAUUUUAUGCUUUGAUUUUUUUUAACUUGUUAAUAGGCAUGUUGCAGCUUGGGGUCUGUUUAAUUAGUCGAGCUUUGAAUUUUUGGUUCGAGUACUUGAGGUAUACGGGCCUGUCAGUUGGGCCACUAACAUGCCCCCAACUUGUAUUUUACUAGGCUUUGACCCUGUAGGUGGUCUAUAGGAUUUGACCCAAGCUCUUGAACCACUCUCCUAAAGAGAUAAGAUUGAGCUGAAAGAGGGUACAUACCAAGAACUGGAGGGGUAUUAGAGGAAUUUGAGCGGGGAGGAAUCUUAUAUACCAGGCAGCUACUAGGAAAGUGUGUGUGUCGGGGGGAGGGUUGUAAAGAUCCGACCGGUUGUUUUGAGCAUUUGCAUUCAAUUUGGUGGUUUGAGGGCAUGCGUAGCUUCAUAUGGUGUAUUAUGACUUGCAUGUAACGUCGGUUUUGGUUUCCGAGUGAUUUAGGAUUGAUUUGGAAGAAUGAUUCUUAUUUUGGAAGCUUUAAGUUGGAAGAGUUGAUCAAGUUUAACUUUGGUGUGUUUGACCUUGGAUUGAAGUUUUGAUGAUUUCAUUAGAUCCAUAUGGUGAUUUUGGACUUGGGCAUGUGCUCAGAUUUUUAUUUGGAGAUUUCUAGAAGGGUUUGGCCAUAAUUGGCGAAAGUUGGCAAUUUCAAGGUUUGGAAUAUUUAUAUGUUUGACCGGGAGCUGACUUUGAUGUUAUCGGCUCGAAUUAUUGUUAUGGGAGUUAAAAUAGAUUCUUUAUUUUAUUUGGAACUUGUGUGCAAAAUUUGAGGUCAGUCCGAGUUGAUUUGAUGAGGUUCGACACGAAUUUUAGAAGUUGAAAGUUCAAAAGUUCAUCAAAUUUUAUUUGAGGUGUGAUUCGUGAUUUUGAUGUUUUUAUGUGUAAUUUGAGGCCUCGCGUAGGUCCAUAUUAUAUUUUGUACUUGUUGGUAUGUUUAGACAGGGUCUCGAGGGGCUCGGGUGAGUUUCAGACGGGUUUCAGACCAUUUUGGGCCAUGUUAGUUCUGUUGGUUUUUGCUGCUUCAUUUUUUCUUCGAGUUUGCGUCCCUAUAUAUUCAUGUUCGUGCAAUGUUAGUGGUGGUAUUCUUUGCGUUCGCAUCCCUUUUUUCGUGUUCGCGUAGUGUUGAGCUGGGCUGGGCAGGUCAUGAUGGAUUCCUCUUCGCAUUCGCGCUGGUGUCUACGCGUUCCAUAUGGUCUGGCAGUUGUGUUUUUCGCAUUCGCGAGGGUUGCUCUACAAACACGUAGCAUUAUUUCGCAACAAUGUAUUUUGUGCAUUGCGAUCGCGAGGGUACAACUGCGAUGGCGUAGGGUACCACUGGGCAGAGCAUAUGAGUACUCUAUUUCGGACCUUGAGCUCAUUUUAUCACAUUUUGAGUUAUGGAGCUUGAAUUUGGGCAAUUUUGGAGAGGAUUUUAACCUCAUGGAUUCAGGUAAGUAUUUUUUACCUAGUUUUGAUUAUAUUCCAUGAUUCCAUCUUCGAUUUUGGCAUUUGAUUGAUGAAUUUAAAAGAGAAAUUNNNNNNNNNNNNNNNNNNNNNNNNNUUAUCAAAAUUUGUGAGUUUUUUCGGUUUUGGAAUACGAGACUAGAUUGACCUUUUGGUUGACUUUGAGUAUUUGAUUGAAAAUUCGACCCUUUUCAUUUGGGUUUGUUUUCUUUGGCAUUAAUUGAUGAUUUUGAGAUGCUUUUGGCUAAUUUCGAGCCGUUCGGAGGCUGAUUCACAUGAGAUGGCAUUUAUAGGGUAUUAUUUGGCUUGCUCGUAUUUGAUUUGUCUUGUUCGAGUUAAGUAAUAUAUCUAAACUUGGAUUUGAGGUAAUUAUCCCCGAAAACUAUGAUAUUUGAGAUGGGUUAGAGGUGACGCACGUGCUAGGUGACGAGCGUGUGUGCGUGCACUGAAAUAUAUUCAUAAUACAGGUAGUUUUAUGCUAUUAUGUGCCUUGUUUUGCUACCAUGCUUCUUUGAUAUCAUGUUUUCUCCAUUUAUAUGAUUAUGUGAGAUGGUAUUCAUGCUAGAAAUUAUGUCUAGGCCACCUGCUCAAUUAUUGAGACAUGAUAGGACUAUUUUUCCAUGUUGAGCUAAUUGCCUUAGCCGUAGUCAUAAUGUUUCAGUCAUAAUAGUUAUAUCCGCAUGUUAUAUCUCUACCUUUGUACAUUUGUUAUAUGUUAUCUCACUUGUUAUUGGUGUCUUAGUACGUGACACAGGUUGAUUUAUAAUUGAGGCAUAUUGGGGUAUUCCAUGUUAUAUGAUUGGAUUAUGUUUCUGUGAUAUAUUGAGAUAUGGAGACUUGAGCGGAUUGAUGACUGAUGUAGGCCGUAGAGCUGUGUUGUGAGUUAUGUUGGAUCGGGUUGCACACAACAACGAUUAUAUUGAUAUUGAGGCGA